UACAGAGGGGGCGAGCGUUGUUCGGAAUUACUGGGCGUAAAGGGCUCGUAGGCGGUCCAUCGCGUCGGGAGUGAAAAGCUGGGGCUUAACCCCAGUCCUGCUUCCGAUACGGGUGGACUAGAGGUAGGUAGGGGAGAUCGGAAUUCCUGGUGUAGCGGUGGAAUGCGCAGAUAUCAGGAGGAACACCGGUGGCGAAGGCGGGAUCCUGGGCCAGUACUGACGCUGAGGAGCGAAAGCGUGGGGAGCAAACAGG
rnacentral:rRNA from 1 species